GUGGGGAAUCUUCCGCAAUGGACGAAAGUCUGACGGAGCAACGCCGCGUGAGUGAAGAAGGUUUUCGGAUCGUAAAGCCCUUUCGACAGGGACGAUGAUGACGGUACCUGUAGAAGAAGCCCCGGCUAACUACGUGCCAGCAGCCGCGGUAAUACGUAGGUGGCAAGCGUUGUCCGGAAUUAUUGGGCGUAAAGCGCGCGCAGGCGGGAUAUCAAGUCUGUCUUAAAAGUGCGAGGCUCAACCUCGUGAGGGGACAGAAACUGGUAUUCUUGAGUGUCGGAGAGGAAAGUGGAAUUCCAAGUGUAGCGGUGAAAUGCGUAGAGAUUUGGAAGAACACCAGUGGCGAAGGCGACUUUCUGGACGAUGUCUGACGCUGAGGCGCGAAAGCUAGGGGAGCGAACGGGAUUAGAUACCCUUGUAGUCC
rnacentral:rRNA from 1 species